rnacentral:lncRNA from 1 species
UAACUAACCAUCUUUAAAUAUUGAUAAAUUGACAAGUAUAACAAGGAUUCAUACAAGUGAUGCAAAUACACCCCUAAUUUUCAACAAUAGAUUUAUUGAAUAACAUAAAUAAAUUCCAACCUAUCGAAUAUAGUUCUGACUAUGUCGAUAUAAAAAGUGAUGUAACAUAAAUAUCCCCACAAUAUAAAGUUUUCGACGUACAAGUGACAGGUUUGUAUUAUUUUCUGAAGAAGUGAGCUAGUGAGCAUCAGUUCUCCCGAGUUCCAUCGUCGCAAACAUGAAAACUUACAUGAAACAAAUACAAGUAGCCAACGAUCCUGGCAACGAACUCUGCUCUUGAAAUUCAUUAGACCCGUUGAAACUUCGACUGCUCCAAUUAUAUAUAAAUAAUAACAAAUAAUGAAAUAUGAUAGUAAUGUACAAAAUCUUCAAAUCCUGUCUGGCUUUGGCAUUAUAGCUGUCCAAAAUAAUCUUUAGCGGAUCUAAAUUAAGAGACAGGGCUUGUUUCCAGUGGCGCUCAAAUAAGGUUGAUGGUGAAGGAAACAUAUGGAUGUGUAUCCGCCUCACCUGCUAGGUUAGCCAUUCCAGCCCCAACCUCUUCAUCAGUUUUCCAGUAUGCACUGCACACAAAUUUAUUGAAGGUACAAUAUUACAAUGUAAGAAUAGUCUAUCUAAUUAAGAGAUAAAAAUUACAAAAACAGAAACAAAUAAAUAUUGUCUGUAUGUAUCAAAACACGAGUGGAAAGCAAGAUCUGUUAGAAUUAGGAAAGAAAGAGAAAGAGGAAUUCUGUUAUUCUAUUCAUAUUAUAAAGAAGUUACAGUAGGUGCUUAUUUAUACUAGCAAGAGUAACAAACUAUAACAAAUAGAAUGACAGCUAAGCAUAUUAACAAAU